GACGUAGGGGGCGAGCGUUGUCCGGAAUUACUGGGCGUAAAGGGCGUGUAGGCGGCCUUUAAAGUCAGCUGUGAAAUCCCUUGGCUUAACUGAGGGCUUGCAGUUGAAACUAUUGAGCUUGAGUGCAGGAGAGGAGAGUGGAAUUCCAUGUGUAGCGGUAAAAUGCGUAGAUAUAUGGAGGAACACCGGUGGCGAAGGCGGCUACCUGGACCGAUACUGACGCUGAGACGCGAAAGCGUGGGGAGCAAACAGG
rnacentral:rRNA from 1 species